UUCUUUGACUCUUGAGACUGAAUUGAACGAGUAAUAUUUAUUCUGAUAAUCUGGAAAGCCUGCUUGACUGACUCGAGGAUGCUUAGAAAAACUGUAUGAAGCCCACCUCUAAUGAUGGCUUCGAUGAUCUUUACCGAGUUGGGAUCCCCAAGAACUCCUGGCUCCUUCUGGUACCCCCUGCUCUCUGAGAAGCACAAAGUAAGCAGCAUAUACAAGUGUUGAGUUUGGAAGGAAGAACCAAAAUCUUUUCUGGAUGCUGGAAAGAAGCAGAGACCCAAGUGCAGUGUCAAAGCAUGGGUGGAUCAGGCUAUGGCAGAGAGAAGUGGAGGAACUUGCAAAAGUUUCCUAGGAGGAUGGAGAAAAGUGGAAGAGCGAUGAAGCAGGAGGAGGCCAUGCUCCAGAGAGCCAGGAGUAGCCCUUCCACAUGCUCUUCCAGUUUCUCUGAAGCCCUGCUUAUUCAGAGUAGCAAUGCAGAUGGAGGAACACUUCCCUG